rnacentral:rRNA from 1 species
UACGGGGGGGGGCAAGCGUUGUUCGGGAAUUACUGGGCGUAAAGGGCUCGUAGGCGGCCAACUAAGUCAGACGUGAAAUCCCUCGGCUUAACCGGGGAACUGCGUCUGAUACUGGAUGGCUUGGAUUUGGGAGAGGGAUGCGGAAUUCCAGGUGUAGCGGUGAAAUGCGUAGAUAUCUGGAGGAACACCGGUGGCGAAGGCGGCAUCCUGGACCAAUAUUGACGCUGAGGAACGAAAGCCAGGGGAGCAAACGGG